GCCGGGACCGGGUUCCUCCCCUGACCCGGCACCCCGCCCCCGCCUGCAGGUGAGGGAGGAGUACCGGAAGUGGGCCUGCCUGGUGGUCGGGAACAAGUACUCAGAGUUCAGCUCGUCCUCCACUGGCACUGGCCAGCAGCAGACUCGGGUCCUCAGGCCCUCGGAGUCCGGCAUGUGAAGGCCCAGCAUGGCCAGGCCAGCAGCUUUUGCACAAGACAGCUCCCUCCUCUCCUGGCUCUCUCAUCCCUGGCGGCCUAGGGAGCUCAGAGCUCCAAGGAGACCAUUGACCACUGCAGCGUGGAACCCUGGAACACCCCGCCGGGGUGCAGGGGGAGCCAGAAGUCCUGUUCUGGCUGUGUCUCUGCCCCAGGGCCAUGGGGCCAGUCCUGAGGACAGAGGGCUGGCCCCCAGCUUUGCUACAGAACUGGAGAGGCCAGGGUGCUGGGGCUCAGCCUCCCUCUUAAGCUAAGACUGAUGUCAGGCCAACAAGGGCAGGGCCCUCCACCCCUGCCCGAGGUCACGGUACAGAGGCCUCCUGCCCCCACUCGGGGAGAGGUCCUCACUGUUUUGAAGGUCGUGGAUGUCGUGUUGUGUUUUUUAUCUGUAUAAACCUGUCGAUGUUGACACUUACAUAAUUAAACAUCACACUGAUACAGAA